rnacentral:rRNA from 1 species
GCCAACGAGCGCAACCCUUGCCUUUAGUUGCCAGCAGUUCGGCUGGGCACUCUAAAGGGACUGCCGGUGGUUAAACCGGAGGAAGGUGGGGAUGACGUCAAGUCCUCAUGGCCUUUAUGACCAGGGCUACACACGUACUACAAUGGCCGAUACAAAGGGCAGCGACACUGCGAGGUGAAGCCAAUCCCGUAAAAUCGGUCUCAGUCCGGAUUGGAGUCUGCAACUCGACUCCAUGAAGUUGGAAUCGCUAGUAAUCGUGGAUCAGCAUGCCACGGUGAAUACGUUCCCGGGCCUU